rnacentral:rRNA from 1 species
AGAGUUUGAUCAUGGCUCAGGAUGAACGCUGGCGGCGUGCUUAACACAUGCAAGUCGAACGAAGCACCUUAUUCUGAUUUCUUCGGAAUGAAAAAUUUGGUGACUGAGUGGCGGACGGGUGAGUAACGCGUGGGUAACCUGCCUCAUACAGGGGGAUAACAGUUAGAAAUGACUGCUAAUACCGCAUAAGACCACAGCACCGCAUGGUGCAGGGGUAAAAACUCCGGUGGUAUGAGAUGGACCCGCGUCUGAUUAGGUAGUUGGUGGGGUAACGGCCUACCAAGCCGACGAUCAGUAGCCGACCUGAGAGGGUGACCGGCCACAUUGGNACUGAGACACGGCCCAAACUCCUACGGGAGGCAGCA